rnacentral:lncRNA from 1 species
CAGCUCUGUUCAUGGGGCUUUGUCAUGGCACCAUGAUUACACUUUGAUUUUGUGCAAUAUUCUGACUGCCAAGCCUCCAUAUCUGGCUCCUUGGAGCUGCUGGGAGCUUUGUGAGUGACAAGGAAUCAUUUGAUACGUGCUCUUCCGGCUGGAGUUAUUCAGAAUUAGCUUCCUUUGUUGGAUGCAUUAUCUCCCAGGAUCCUCUUCAGACCUAUAAGCAAACAGACUCCCUGAAGGCUUUGCCACACACAGAUCAGACAUCCUGGCGCCAUCAUGACCUUCGUCACUAUCCGUCCACACUUACUGAGUGCAAGUAUGCUAUUUCUCUUCUAAUCCUCACAAUAACCCUGUCAGAUGGGAACAACAAGUAUUUGCCUUUUGCCAGUGAGAAAGGGGAGAACCCAAGGAGUACAAUUCUUGACAUACACUGGCUUGUAAACAAUGAGCUUAGAUUACACCCGCAUCUAUUUGAUGCUGGAUACUGCGCUCUUAACCUCUACCCAGCCUUGCGUUUGCCCUGUAGGCAUCCUAGGAGUCUCAAGAACCAAGAAGCUUUCGUAGAGCUUUUUUGCUGUAUUUUGUGUGAUGAAACAUUACCUUUUAUUCUACAAAUAUAAAGUUGUAUUAUGAAACUUUGAAAUAAACUUGAAAUUUUUGUUUCAAGCUAUACUCCGUUUUCCCUCAACACACGUGCACACACACACACACACACACACACACGCAUUCUCAGAAGUUCUGGUACUCUAACCCUGGUUAAAAUCCAGUCCUCGAGGGGAACAUCACACAGAAGGCCUGUUGCAGGGUCAGGGGAUAGAGGAGGGAUAGCAGGUGGUGGGGUUAAGGGAAGGGACAGCAUUAGGAGAAAUACUUAAUGUAGAUGACGGGGUGAUGGAUCCAGCAAGCCACCAUAACAUGUGUAUACCUAUGUGACAAAUCUGCACAUUCUGCACAUGUACCCUAGAACUUAAAGUAUAAUAAUAGCAAAAAAGAAAGAGUAAAAAUGUAAAUAUAUUAAAAAAAAUUCCAAUCCUUGGUCAUACAGGUGAUCAAGGCAGAGACACUGCCCUAUGAGGUUCUACAGUCUAGUAACAGAAGAGGACAUCUUAUCAGAGAGAGUUUUUGGGUGUAAGCAACAGAAAUGGACUCCGGUUAAUUUAGACAAAAUGACAACUUAUUAAAAGAGCACUGGCUUGCUCAACAGGUAUCAGGACAGCCAGAGACUCAAGCUCAGAAGCAACAUACCAGUCUGGUUCCAAAAGCCAUAGCCCUGCCCACUUAACUAUUUUGCCUCUCUGUUGAUGUAUCUUUGUUGAAUAAACGCCUUAAAUGAAGAGUUUGUAGGAGGAAAUGCAAUUCCUGGUGGAGACUUCUAUGUACAUAUAAACUACAGAAUCACCAUUCAUCCAGCUUCUUUUUGUGGAAACUAUUCC